UAACUGAAGAGUUUGAUCAUGGCUCAGAUUGAACGCUGGCGGCAGGCUUAACACAUGCAAGUCGAGCGGAGAUGAGGUGCUUGCACCUUAUCUUAGCGGCGGACGGGUGAGUAAUGCUUAGGAAUCUGCCUAUUAGUGGGGGACAACAUUCCGAAAGGAAUGCUAAUACCGCAUACGUCCUACGGGAGAAAGCAGGGGAUCUUCGGACCUUGCGCUAAUAGAUGAGCCUAAGUCGGAUUAGCUAGUUGGUGGGGUAAAGGCCUACCAAGGCGACGAUCUGUAGCGGGUCUGAGAGGAUGAUCCGCCACACUGGGACUGAGACACGGCCCAGACUCCUACGGGAGGCAGCAGUGGGGAAUAUUGGACAAUGGGGGGAACCCUGAUCCAGCCAUGCCGCGUGUGUGAAGAAGGCCUUAUGGUUGUAAAGCACUUUAAGCGAGGAGGAGGCUACUGAGACUAAUACUCUUGGAUAGUGGACGUUACUCGCAGAAUAAGCACCGGCUAACUCUGUGCCAGCAGCCGCGGUAAUACAGAGGGUGCGAGCGUUAAUCGGAUUUACUGGGCGUAAAGCGUGCGUAGGCGGCUUUUUAAGUCGGAUGUGAAAUCCCCGAGCUUAACUUGGGAAUUGCAUU
rnacentral:rRNA from 1 species